GUUUACGUUUGUUAAAUAGUUACACAUCCAUGUUAACGUACAUGUAACGUUAGGCUAUUAGUCUAUUUUUCGAGUCAUUUGCACAUAAUGUACAUAAAACUGGUUUUGAUAAUUUUCUCUCCUCAGAAAAUCCAGUAUGACUUCUCUAAAAAUCUCAAAAGGUUCUCAGAGCAGGACUAUCUAAUAAAGAAAUGUGGCUCUGCAGUGGACACCUGUGAGGCAGUGGACAGACAGCUGCUGAUGUCUGAUGCUGGCUGACAAUAAACAGACCUCUCUGGACUUCUCUUUUUUAUUUUAUUUUUUAUAGAAAUUAUAACAUUGCCCUUCCUGUAACAUGAUGAUCCUGCUGUCCUGGACUGUAUAUGAUGAG